CACAGUGGACGCUUAACUAAAUCAAGGGCACUUGUGUCUGCCUCCAUGAGUGGUCAUGGUGGCGUAGUAAGGGCACACGUCCUCGUUACCGGAGGUCCCGGGCGGCACACAAUUGCAACGGGCACAACAGGUUCCGCAUGCCCUCUUGCACAUCUUCCGCCUUGAUGUCAACCGGCACCUAGUGGCGCAUGCCGCUCCGCAAUCUGAAAAAGAGAAGCUCGUGGCUAAUAACAUGGACUAACGAUACAAAAGAAAAUGUCAUACUGAAUAUAAAGACAUGUUGUGUGUACAUCAUUCAUCCAUAAUUUAACCAUUUUAAUUCGCGGGAAAAUAAUUUGUCGAAUACGAUAUCAGAGCUCCCGUUAUUCUCGAUUCUCGAAUCAGAGCUCCGGUUUAUUCUCGAUUCUCGAAUCAACCGAGCUGAUUGUAGUCUCAAUCUACAUAGUAGCUAUGCAAAACCAUCAUAACUAAAAGCAUUUAAAUUGAGAUUUCACCUAUCUUUUUGGCGAUAGAACUCUACUGAAUCUGCGCUCACCUCCUGCUACACAACAUAUGUGGUCGGGAUUAGCCAAGGUAUGAAAGACUAUACAAAACUUCAUCAACAAGUACACGGCGUUGAGAGAGAGAGAGAGAUAGAGAGGAAGGAGAUUUCAUUUACCGUAGCAUCAGCUGCUUCAACCAGCAGAUGGAGAACGAGGAGGGAAAGGAGCAAACAAGCCAAAACCUUGGACAGAGACAUGACUGCUUGAAUGAUUGUGAUCAAUGGUGGGUGUCAAGUAUGUUUUUCUUGUCUCUUGUAGGAUGGUGCAAUACGUCGAGAGCAAAGGAGUCUUAUAUAGGGAGUACUGAAUCGAGUUGAGGAUUGUAAUUCUAGGUGAGUUUCAUGCGAGGACGGGGAUAUUCGGCGCAUAAGCAACGAAGCAAGAGAACGAAAAUUCUAAUUGGUACACUUGGUGAUGCAUCAGACGCGUGCAGGUACAUUUGGUGGAGAGAAAAAGCUAAAGAGAAGCGCUCUGGAGUCAUCCGGACGUGCCAAAACUCUUUUCGACUAUUGCUUUGAUUUCAUUUGCUUUUCUGGUGGAAGAUAGCUAUGGUCCCAAAGCACAAGCAGCUCGUGGUUUUGAAGGUAGGCGUUGACAUGAGUCCCUUUCAUAAGAGAAAUAGAGAAUGGACAGUGCAAAUUCUUUAAUCAGAAGCUAAGUUGUAACGCAAUUCUGCACUCCGUGGGGACAAAUAAGAAGGGUGUGAGAAAAAAAAUUAUUUUCUUUACCAAAAAAAUAAAUAAAUAAGAAGGGUGUGAGAAAGAUGCGGCAGCUGUGCGAUGUCAAUACUUUGCACGCAAUACAGCAGAAGGUGCUUAAAAGUCUUCUUGCAUUGUCAUUUAGCUGAGUUAUCUUUUGCAUUAACAAUUCAGAUUCAAGUCCCUAAACCAAUCAAAGACGGUUUAUAUACUCUGGGAUAGAUGAUUGUAGGUCCCCUCUGCCGGCCGAGUUUAAGCAAUUAUACAUAGAGAGACCGCUUUUAAGUCGGUGCUCGGGAAAUGAAAAGAGCUGUGAUCUUAGAUAGAACGUGCUCGUGGAAUCCCAAUUGAAAUCAGGCCAUUCCCGAUAAUGGUUUGCGACAGAUGGAGGCAGUCUUGGAUUGAGGGUGAGUUAGAUUCAAUUUUACAAAUGAGCUUUAAGUGUAAUGUAAAUGCUAAAACCCAAAAUCCUUGGAGAAAUGUAAAUUGUAUUGGUAAAAACUCUUUGCAAGUUUAGAUUCGAGUAGUGUUAGGCCAAAAAAAAAAUUACAAUGGACUUUGACUAUAUUUUUUGUUUUUUUUAUAUUAUUAUUUAAAAAGAAUUCAAGCCCUUUGCCGGAGUUGGCAAAAGGCUAUGGAAGUCGGUGAGCCACAUUUAGCUCCAGUAGCCAUCAGCUGAGGUUGCUUGACCUUUGGUGAGGGUUGUGCAACUCAAGCAAGGUUUGCAUUGAUAUUGCUAGUAUGAGUACCUAGAGGGGGGUGAAUAGGUAUAUAAAGAAUUUUUCUCAAUCAAUUACACAAUACUAGACAGUUGGAUGAAACGAUAAUCAAAGUAAGACUGAGAGAAGAGAAAAUUGAAUACGCGGUUUAUAGUGGUUCGGCUUAUAUCAAGUCUACGUCCACUCUUCUUCACUAACAGCCUAUUGGCUGGAUUCCACUAUGAACAAGAGAGAGGUUACAGCGCAGCUUUGCCUUGAUUCCACAGUGUAGAUGUUCUACCACACCUCCUCAAGAUUUCUCACAAAUAUAUACUCUCUCUUUCGUAUACAAGUAUUCGCUCAAAGGAUUUGUCUAAACAAAAAGGAGCUUCAGACUUUGGAAUUCUUCUAUCGCGCACCCCUUGAACAACUAAGACAGUCUUCCUUAUAUACUCCUUUAUGCCAUCAUACCCGUUGGCACUUACCAAAAGAAUUCCUCCAAUCUACCCGUUGGACGGAAUCAAUUAGGAAGAUUGUCCAAGCUAUAAAUGGAACGUGUUGAUAGCCCAUCAAUCCUGUUCGCCCAUACAAUCAGGAUCUCGGUUUCCAUAAGCAGAACCUUCCAAUAAUAUUUAGGCAAUCACCGGAUCUUCAAUUAUCGAAUCAAUCUUCGAUCAAUCAAAGGACUCCGUUUAUGUCUUCUCCAGCCAUGAGGUCUUCUCCAGUUGAAAAGGUUAAAUCAUCAACGAAACAUCCAGUUCUGGAUAACAUUUCUUCAACGGAUUAGAGACUGUCAAUGAGGAUAGACUUUGAGUCUUGAGUCUGGCUGUCCCAAAGUUUUCAGACUUUAAAUAGCAGAGUCUGCAAGCCUUCAGACUAGACUGAUAGAAACGAUUUGUCAACUUCAAAACACUUCAAGAAGAUUUCUCCAACAAUCUCCCCCUUUUUUAUGGUGACAAAACUUUCCUGCGGAUUUGGAUAUCUUUGACCUGCAAAACAUUUCUCAAACACAUAUGCAUAUCUUAUAGAGGUAAAUGGCUUAACAGAAUAACACUAGAAUCUGCAACCAUAUAAAAUAGGUUAGUCCAGUAUAUGAAGAAGCCAUCCAUAAGAUAUCAAUAUUAGUCAAUAAAAGCAGUCAAGUCCAAGUCUAGUUCAGUUCUUAUCCAGACACAAACCAAAGUCAAACAGAUUCAAACCACAAAACAAUCCAACAAAACAAUUAAAAGUUGAAUGAAAGGUUUUUGAUCAAAUCUUGCAUCUCUCCCCCUUUUUGUCAUCAUUAAAAAGGAUGAGAUGAAGUUAAGAUUGCUUGGGAAUGCGGACAAGCUGGAAAUCUUCCAUAGACUGAACGAUGCCUUCCAGCCUUUUAAAGUCUUCCUUUAGCUGUGCAAUCUCCUCACUCUUGGCAUUGGCCUGAUUCUGAACAGAGAGGGCUUGCAUUUUAUCAUUCAAUGAACAGGAAGAAGCUUGACCUUCAUUCUUCAAGCUUUGAACUUCGCAUCCCAAGGCAUAAAUCUGACCUCGCAUCUCCAAAAGAAUAUCCAUGAUUCUUCUUCUGGAAAUUGAGAUGCAUAAACAUCCUCUGGGUCUGCUGGUGAGCGACUGACUCCUUCACUUGCAUCAGGACAUGAAGACUUCACUCCUUUCUCCUGAUCUCCCCCUGUUUCCAUGCCUACAAGUGGAGAAGAGUGUUCUUCAGGUUCUCAUUCUUCUCUUCUUUCUUCUUCAGGUCUUUCCUCCUCUGUUUCUUUUUCAGCUUCUAUUUCUUCUUCUUCCUUCUCCUCUGCUUCUUUCGUCAUUUGCUCCGAUUCUUUCUGUGGAACAGGACGACUUAAAUUCUUCAAAGCCAAUGCAGAGAUAGUGAUGUCUUCCUCAUCAUCUUCAUCCUCAACAAGGAGAGCUCUUCUUCUCUUGGAUGGAGCAACCAUGGGCUCCUUCCCUUUUCUUUUAGCUGUAGAAGAUAUUUGAUGAGAUUUUGCAGGAGUCUUCUCCUUGAAUUUCUCCAACUCCUUGCUCAGUUCCUUCAGACGCAUUUUGGUCACCAUUUUCAGACCUACCACCAUAUGAUCGCAUGGUCAAACACAAAAGAUUUGUGGAGGCUGAAUAUUCAGAUGUCUGAAUAACUUCGUAACAAGGCUUGGGUAAGGGAGUUGACCUCUGUCCUUCAUCAUUGCUCUAUACAUGUGAAACAUCACAGUGUGAGGGAGAGAAAACCUUUUUCCAAAGAGAAUGGCAUACAUCAACUUGGCCUCUGAACUUGAAACAUCAGUCUUAGAAGUUGAUUUCGGUCGGAGGCAAUUAAUCACAAUCUUGUGAAGCAAGAUGUUGAAUGCACCCAUCCUUAAGUAGGUGAUCUUUUCAUCUGUUCUCCUGUCCUUCACCAGUUCAAGAGUGGCCCGAGCAAUGGAAACUUUGAUUGGCUGAUAUCUUCCUCUUUCGACUUCUAACACAUCUGCCAGCAUAUUCAUAUCCACAACAUAAUCUUGGUCUUUAACGCUGAACGAGAAUCUAUUCGCAUCCAAAAAGCUUAGAUUUGAAUAGAAAUAUACAGUUAAUUCAACAUAGGCCUCUGUAGAGUCAGAGCAGAACUUUUCAAGUUGAAGAUAACUGAACUUUUCCCUCAAGUUCAUAUUCACAGCAUCCAGAAAAUCGAAAUCUACACUCCUAGGGUUUAUCACCCCACGCUUCAGCAAUUUCGAGUAUAGAUCCUUUUGCUCCUUUGAUCUGAACAAAUCUCCCAUUUUUCCUUGGUUAUCAACCGCAACACCCAUUUUCGGUUGGAAUUGACUGUACAAUUUAUCAUCAUCAUUCCCAUCUACAGGAUUCGGCCCCCAGUCACGAGGAUCACUUGGGAUAUUUGCAAGGGUUUCCUCAGCCACCCCUUUUCGAGCAAUUCCCAAACUUUCCAUUUUUUUCAGAAAGAUAUAUUCGUUCCCAUGUCCUUUGUCUUUAAGAAAAUCAUCAAUGUAGUUCAAAGGAGUACGAAUUCCUUUUAGGGCACGAUAUAACUGAUAAAUAUAAGCGGGCUUUUGAACUCUUACAGGGUCUGCAUCCUCGAUGAUUUCUUCCUGUUGUUGAUGAUCAACGCCUUGAGGACUAGAUGGAGGAGAAUGACUCUGUUGAGAAUGUUGUGGGCUCGCUUGCUGAUCUGGAGUCACUUCAUCUUCAGUAAGAUCGAAGUGCGUAGGCCCCUCACUCAUCCGCCGUGGUCCCCUGCUUGCAAUUCUUGAAGACUUUCUUGAAGAUGACAUCUUUCUCAGUUUUUGAAAGAUUCCUUGCUUGACUUUCCCAGGAAAGAUGACAACUUUUUGAGGAUUAAAAGAAGAAGACAAACGGGAAUGGAGGAUCGAUGCUUUCUAGGGUUUUUGAGAGAAAAGUGAAGAGGAAUCAACAGUUCAAGAUCGGUUAAGAGGGAUAAACGAACCGUCAUAAAGGAAAUAAAAAUAUGCCUUUUCAAAAUAACUGUCUUUUUCCGCAAAAAUAGCCAUUUCAAAAAUAACUUCCCUUUUGAAAAUGAAACGAUGCAAUAUUUUCGUCAAUUAAAUAUAGCAACAAUUUAAACACAGUCUGACAAUCGUACCUUUUCAAUUUGAGAUUCAAGAGAGAAAGACUUACAGUCUGACGGACGUACCAAGACUGUCUUUCAGAUAAAGUCUUGUAAGUCUGAGUCUGAAAGUCUUUAGACUUUGAUAUCCUCAUACCUCAAAAUGUUGAGUCUGGAGCGUAUAGACUCAAAUUGAUUUUUCUCCAAAGGCUUUGUGAAUAUAUCCGCCAGUUGAUUCUUUGAGUCAACAAAUUGAAUUGAAACAUCUCCAUUUUGAACAUGAUCUCUUAUAAAGUGAUGUCGAAUCUCUAUAUGCUUUGCUCUUGAGUGGAGAAUUGGAUUUUUGGUGAGGUUGAUAGCGCUGGUGUUGUCGCAAUUAAUCUCCGUGCAUGAGUCUUCAAUUUCAAAGUCUCUUAGCUGUUGUUUUAUCCAUAGAAUUUGCGAACAGCAGCUUCCCAGAGCUACAUACUCUGCUUCUGUUGUUGAAAGAGACACAGUGCUUUGUUUCCUUGAAAACCAAGACACUGUCCUGCUUCCAAGCAACUGGCAAGUUCCCGAAGUGCUCUUUCUAUCAACUCUGCAACCGGCCAGAUCUGCGUCUGAAUAUCCCAGAAGAUUAAAGUCUCCCUUCUUAGGAUACCAAAGACCGAUGCUUGAUGAUGAAGCAACAUAUUUAAUGAUGCGUUUCGCAGCACUGAGAUGGGAUUCUCUAGGAUCUGAUUGAAACCUAGCACAGAUGCAAACACUCAACAAGAUGUCAGGUCUAGAAGCAGUAAGAUAAAGGAGUGAACCAAUGAUGCUCCUGUACAGCUUUUGAUCAACUUUCUUCCCUUCUUCAUCUUUGUCUAUCUUCAAAGAUCCAUUUAGGAAGGCACUUUGACGUCCAUUUGGAAUAACUGAAAUUCUUAUAACAAGCAAACGCAAGUAUAGUCGAAUAGCUUCUAACCUUGCUACUGGAGCGUAAGUCUCAUCAUAGUCUAUUCCUUCUUCUUGUGUAUAUCCCUUGGCCACGAGUCUUGCUUUGUUUCGUACGACUUUUCCUUUUUCAUUCAUCUUGUUUCUGAACACCCAUUUAGCUCCAAUAACAGUUUUACCUUUUGGUUUGGAUGUCAAUUCCCAGACAUCAUUAAUGCUAAACUGUCUGAGCUCUUCUUGCAUAGCUUCAAUCCAGCUUUCAUCAGAUAAAGCUUCUUCUAUGCUUUUUGGUUCAAUUUCAGAAACGAGAGCCACAGCACUAGACUCUUCUCGCCUUUUGGAUCUGGUGCGAAUUCCUUCAUUCAUUUCGCCGAUUAUAAGAUCUUUGGGAUGACUGGACUUAUGCUUCCAGUUACUCGUUGAUCUGUCUGGUUGAUGAUCUCUUUCUUUGUUUGGAUCUUCACGAACAUCUUGAAGCUGGUUUUCCAGAGUCUGAGAUGCUUCUUGAGAUGUAAGCUUUGGAAGAUCUGAAGCAGGGUCAGACUCUCCUUGAUGAGUCUGACUUGAUUCAUCUUGCGUUGAAUCUUGGAAUUUGACAUUCAUUGACUCCUCCAUAGACUGGCUCUUCUUGUUAUAGACUCUGAAGGCUUUGCUUGAUGUAGAAUAUCCAAGGAAGAUACCUUCAUCUGAUCUUUCUUCAAACUUACCAACUCGAUCUUUUGCAUUUUUCAAUAUAAAACAUUUGCAACCGAAUACAUGAAAGUAUGAAACAAUAGGCUUCUUAUCUUUGAACAAUUCGUAAGGGGUUUUCUCUAGAAUAGGUCUUAAGAAGACUCUAUUGAUGAUAUAACAUGCUGUUGAAACAGCUUCAGCCCAAAAUCGUGAAGAAAUCUUGCUUUCAAUUAAAAGAGUUCUAGCCAUUUCUUGAAGAGAUCUGUUCUUUCUUUCCACAACUCCAUUUUGCUGAGGAGUAUAUGGAGAGGAGAACACAUGAUUAAAGCCAAAUUCAUCACAAAAUUUUGUAAAAUCUUGAUUUUCAAAUUCACCUCCAUGAUCUGUUCUUAUACUUGAGAUAACACAUCAUUUUUUUCAUUUUGAACCUUUUUAGCAAACUUUUCAAAAUACAAGAAGGUUUCAGACUUACUUGCAAGGAAAUAUACCCAAGUAAAACGGGAGUAAUCGUCCACAAUUACUAGGCAAUAUUUCUUACCUCCAAUACUCUGUGUUUUGGUUGGUCCGAAGAGAUCCAUAUGCAGCAACUGUAGUACAUGAUUAGUAGAGACAUGAUUUAUUGGCUUGAAUGAAUUUCUUACCUGCUUUCCCAGAAUACAUGGAGUGCAUGGAUCAGUCUUUUGAUAAGGUAAUUUGGGUAGUCCUCGAACAAGCUGCUUUGAUGAGAUUUUGGCUAAUUGCUUCAUGUUAACAUGACCAAGCUUUCUGUGCCAUAAGCUUGCUUCGUCUUGAAUUGAGAUAAAACAUUGCGAUUCAUUUGGUUUCACAUCCAGAAGAUAAAUGUUUCCAUGUCUACGACCCAUGAAAGACUGAGUAGAGUCUUUACUGAUUCCAGAACAUAUUCCUUCUUGAAAAAAGAUCUUGAAACCAGUAUCACACAAUUGACUAAUGCUGAGAAGAUUGUAAUUGAGUCCUUCCACUAAGGAAACAUUACUUAUUGUGAGAUUUCCAAUUUUCACAGUUCCAAAUCCCACAAUACUCCCUUUGCUGUUUCCUCCAAAUGAAACUUUUCCACCAUUUACUUUAGCAAUCUUUAUAAAACAAUUUGAGUCUCCUGUCAUGUGUCUUGAGCAUCCACUGUCAAGAUACCACUUUACCUUUUUCUUGAUGGUGACCUGCAUUUAAAAAAGAGUCUCAAGCUUUCUUUGGUACCCAAACUUUCUUGGGUCCUUUUGUGUUAGUAACAUAAGCAGUAUUAGCCCAUAUUCUCUUAACAGGUUUCCAAACCAUAGGACACUCUUUUUCAAAGUGAUCCGGACUGUUGCAUUUUGAACAUUUUAGAGCAUUUCUUCCUACGGAUUUUACAAAAACUUUCUUGAAGUGAUUUUUGUAAACCUCUCUCGAGAGUCUUUUCUUAAUUCUUUCUUUUACUUUAGGAAAAUCAAUCAGGGGAAUUGUUUCUUCUAACAUUCCUAGACCGGACUUAUUGAAGUAAGGUCUUUGUGCUGAAAGAAUUUUCUCAAGUUUUUCAGACCCUAUUGAAAAUUUCUUUGAUAUAUUUGAUAAGUCUGUUUUUAAAAAGACAUUUUCUUUUGAAAGAUUAUCUCCAUUUUCUUUAAGAUUGGAAAUAGUCAAGUCUAGACUUUUAACUCUUUCUACUAAAACAUUUUCCUUUUGUUUUAGAGCUGAGUUUUCCUUUUUCAGUUCGGAAAUUCUUUUGAGAGAAGUCUUAAGACUAAAACAUAAUUCAUCAAUAUAUUUAGAAACUUUGACAGGAAUUUUAAUAUCACUUGCCUCAAAUUCACUGUCUGAGUCUGAUCCAGAGUCUGAGUCUGAUUGUGCCAUCAGACAUAGAUAGCAUAUUCAUUAUCACUUUCUUCACACUCUGUGUCACUCCAUGUUUCGGCUUUGAGAGCUUUUCGAAAUCUUUCAGCUUUUCCUUUCUUCUUCUUCAGAAGAGGACAGUUGGGUCUGAUGUGUCCCUUUUUCUUACAUUCAAAGCAGACUAUGUCUUUGUUUGGUUCCUCAUCAUCAACAGACUUGGUCUACUGUCUUUGAAAGCUUUGUUUCUUUGAGUUGAACCUUCUUCCUUUUCUAUUCAGUUUUCUUAAUCUUCUUAUCAUGAGAGCAAGCUCCUCAUCGUCCAUAUCUUCUUCAGAAUCUGUAUCAUCAGAAUCAUCAUUUGAUUUUAAUGCAAUGGAUUUCUUACCUUUUGGAUCUUCAUCUUCAUUGAUCCGUUCCACUUCAUAAGACUGAAGAGUUCCAAUUAGCUCGUCGACAGAUAGUGGCAUAAUUCUUUGCGUCUCUCUUAUCAAAGUCUUUAUGUGAUUCCAAUCCCUGGAGAGUCCACGCAGUAGCUUGUUUACCUUCAUGGGAUCAGAAGUUGGUUGACCUUGAUUUUCAAGACCAUUCACAAUAUCUGUAAAACGACUAAACAUGUCAGAUAUAGAUUCUCCUGGUUUCAUUCUGAAGGCUUCGUAUUGACCGAGAAGAAUGUUGAUUCUAGUUUCCUUCACUCGAUCUGUUCCUUCAUAGGUGAUAUGCAAUGUGUCCCAAACUUCUUUUGCUGUACCACAAGAAGAUAUUCUAUUAUAUUCAGUUGGUGAUAAAGCACAAUAUAAGGAGUAAAUUGCUUUUGCAUCGAGUGUUUGUCUUUUGAUUAUUUCUUCCUGAGACAUUCUGCCGGUUUCAUCAGUUUCUUUUCCUCUUUCAGAGACUAAUGCGGUGGUAGGAGUAAUUCCUUUUUCUACAACGUCCCAUUCCAGAGGAUCCUUUGAUCGAAGGAAAGCUUUCAUCUUGUUCUUCCAGAUGUUGUAAUCCUUUCCAUCAAAGUAGGGUGGUCUGGUAUUGUUUUGCCCUUCCAUCAGCCCUGGUGCUAGCAUACUAGCCAUGGAUCUUUUACUACGAAGUAAAACACUUCAAAUAAAGUAAGUACACAGGCUCUGAUACCAAUUGAUAUUGCUAGUAUGAGUACCUAGAGGGGGGUGAAUAGGUAUAUAAAGAAUUUUUCUCAAUCAAUUGCACAAUACUAGACAGUUGGAUGAAACGAUAAUCAAAGUAAGACUGAGAGAAGAGAAAAUUGAACACGCGGUUUAUAGUGGUUCGGCUUAUAUCAAGCCUACGUCCACUCUUCUUCACUGACAGCCUAUUGGCUGGAUUCCACUAUGAACAAGAGAGAGGUUACAGCACAGCUUUGCCUUGAUUCCACAGUGUAGAUGUUCUACCACACCUCCUCAAGAUUUCUCACAAAUAUAUACUCUCUCUUUCGUAUACAAGUAUUCGCUCAAAGGAUUUGUCUAAACAAAAAGGAGCUUCAGACUUUGGAAUUCUUCUAUCGCGUACCCCUUGAACAACUAAGACAGUCUUCCUUAUAUACUCCUUUAUGCCAUCAUACCCGUUGGCACUUACCAAAGGAAUUCCUCCAAUCUACCCGUUGGACGGAAUCAAUUAGGAAGAUUGUCCAAGCUAUAAAUGGAACGUGUUGAUAGCCCAUCAAUCAUGUUCGCCCAUACAAUCAGGAUCUCGGUUUCCAUAAGCAGAACCUUCCAAUAAUAUUUAGGCAAUCACGGGAUCUUCAAUUAUCGAAUCAAUCUUCGAUCAAUCAAAGGACUCUGUUUAUGUCUUCUCCAGCCAUGAGGUCUUCUCCAGUUGAUAAGGUUAAAUCCUCAACGAAACAUCCAGUUCUGGAUAACCUUUCUUCAACGGAUUAGAGACUGUCAAUGAGGAUAGACUUUGAGUCUUGAGUCUGGCUGUCCCAAGGUCUUCAGACUUUAAAUAGCAGAGUCUGCAAGCCUUCAGACUAGACUGAUAGAAACGAUUUGUCAACUUCAAAACACUUCAAGAAGAUUUCUCCAACAUGCAUGACCUUAGGCGACCCUCAGGAAGAGUCGUACGACCUAGGCAGCCAUCUAGGUCGCAAGAGACCCAGAUGAGGGCCGCUUGAGGUGGCGAGACCCAAGUGUUUUCUCUGCUACAUCUCCUUUUGCCUGCUUUGUUCCCACGAGGAAAUUAAAGAAACAUCAUCUCCAUUUGGUCAGUCUAUAAUAAGCAAGGUACGAAAGACUCCAUCAAAGAAAACAAUCAAGUUGUAGUGGACUGAUAACGAGUAGGGUUUUACAGUAUUACCGAGUCCUGAACAUCAGCUGCAGCGACUUGGAGGAGAAGAAGAGAGGCAACGAUGAGCGAGGAAGCAAUCACAAGCUUGGAGCUAGCCAUGGACGAAGGUGGCUCGAGGUGGAGAUGAUUAUAUAUUCAGUGUAUUUUAUACAAUAUGGUAUUGGUACAUGAAACAAGAGAAAGGGUCGGUCGUAUUUAUAGGGCGAGAUAGAGUUCGAGAGAGUGAAUUCAAGACGAGAGAGUGAAUUCGAGAGGUAGUUGGUGCAUUGCAAAGGCUGGCUAGAGUGGGAUAUGAAUUUUGUUAAUCCAAAAAUGAGAAAAAAGCAAAAGAGAGAGAGAAAAAAAAAAAGAGCGUGGCUUGCCUGUUGAUGAUUCUCUACUCGUAUGUUAUGGUCCUAAAAAGAUUAAAAGAAAAUAAAAGGUGUGUGAAGCCCAGAAAAGGGAAGGAAAGUGGUGGUCGCCGGUCGGGAAUAUUUGGUAGGAAUAUAAGGCUUUAAAAUCAGUGGAAGUUGUACUUGAAAGGGCUAAUACCAACAUCUAGAGAGGGGUGAAUAGGUGUUAAAAGAGAUUUUUGCGGAAACGUUUAUAAAUACUUUUUCUUUCGGACUAGAAUCUACUAAACAAUGAACCAAAGCAAGUUCAGCAAAUAAUUAAAUUUACAAAUGAAUAAAGGAGUUUAGGGAAGAGAAUAAAAACACAAAGUUUAUGGUUGUUCGGCUUAGGUCAAGCCUACGUCCACUCUCCCGUACUGACAGCCUACUGGCUGGAUUUCAUUAAGAAUCAAAAGAGAUUUUACAAUCUCAUGUCAUUGACUUUACAGUGUAGAAACUUUACUACAUUCUACCAAAGUCUCACAAGUGUUUGCUCUUUCUUUUGAGUAUAAGUUAAGCUUGACAAAUGAAAUAGCAAAUAACUAGGAAAUUUCAAACUUUCAAUUUUUUUUUCACGCACACACUCAAACAAAUGGAAAGUCCGCCUUAAAUACUCCUUCAUGCCUUCACGACUAUUGGCACUUUCUAAAGGAAUUCCUCCAAUCUACCCGUUGGAUAGAAUCAAUCAAGGAGAUCUCGAGUUUGUUUUAGGAAUGUGACGAGAGCCCAUCAAUUAUGCUCGUCCAUACAAUUAGGAUCUUGGUUUUCAUAAGUAAAACAUUCCAAGUAUACUUCACCUUUCAAAAGAUUUUCAAAUCGAAGUAGAUUUCAAUAAGAAUAAUCAAUCAUGUAGACCCUAUGGCUAUAUCCAGCCAUAGGGUCUUCUAAAAAACCAUAUGAAUUGAAUCCUUGAAGAUAAUUCCGCAUCUGAGUAAAUCUUCAUUCUUCAAUCUAAAAACUGUCAAUGGGGGCAGAUUUGAGAUUAAAGUCUAACGGUCUUUAGACUUUGACGGUAAACUCUGGAGUUCUUCAGACUAUAGUACUUAAGUCUACAAGUCUUCAUACUAGACUUUUGGCAAUGUUUUGUCAGCUUCAAAACAAUUAAGGAGUUUUCUCUAACAAUCUUCUCAUUUUUGAUGGUGACAAAACUUUCCUACAGAUUUGAAAAUUUUGACCUACAAGACAACACUUAAGCAAGACGUGAUAUCUUAUAAAAUAAGUUGAUUAGGACAUGGAUAGCAUCGACUAUGCAACCACAAAAAACAUGUUAAUCCUGCAAGAUAAAUAACUAUCUAGCCACAAUCAAUAUCACAGACUUAGUUACUGCAAGUGUCAAAAGAUUCAAAAUCAAAUAGCAAUCAAAAGUCCAAAGUAUACCAAUUCAAAGUCAGUCCAAAAUGUCAUCAAAAUCAAACCAAUAAAGCAAAAAGAUAAAGAUAAAGUCAAGUCAAAUCUAUAAACUCUCCCCCUUUUUGUCAUCAGCAAAAAGUGGAUAAAACUUUAAAAAGAGGGAUAAAAUCAUGGCUGUUUCGGGAUGUGAACAAUCUGGAAGUCCCCCAUAGACUUGACAGUCUCCUCCAGCUCCUUCAGAGUCUCCUUCAGUUGUUGAAUAUCAUUACCCUUUGCAUUAUCUUGAACUUGAAACUUCAGGGCUUGAACUUGAUCGUGUGGAGAGACUGAAGUGGCCUGAUGUGCAGAUUUCAGAUUCUAAAUGUCACACUCUAACCUGUAUAGCUGAGCCUUUAACUCCACCAUAGGCUCGAGCAGACUUCGAAAGUCUGUUGAAGGUUCUGUUUGAGUACUAGUAUCAGUAUGGUCAGAUUGAGGAGUGCUAAUUGAUGAUGGAACCUCAGCUGGAACAUCCAGACUUGGAGAUGAUGCAUCAACAUCAAUUUCAGGGAAUUGAGAGGCAUAGACAUCCUUUGGAUCUGCUGGAGAUCUACUAACAUCACUAGUGAAAACAGACGAAGAAGUACCUCUUUUGUUAGUAGCUUCCCCUGAUUCUGUGUCUUAAGGUGGAAAAAAGAAUUCUUCUUCCUGUUCUUGCUCAGUUUCAACACUUGAGUGAUGUUUUUCUUUCCCUUUUCCAGUAGUUCCACUCCUUAUCUUCUCAGAGUCACUUGACAAGGAUACAACCAAGCUUAGUUCAAAAGAGUCAUCUUGACUCUCUUCUUCUUCUUCUUCUUCUCCUCUUCCUUCUUCUCCUUCCUCUAUUCUUCUCUCUUCUCUGUCUUUUUUCUUUCUCUUGUCUCUCUAUCCUCUAUCUCCUGAAAGAUAACAAAACUCUGUAAAUUUCGUAAGGCAAAGGUGGUGAGAGUGAUGUCAUCCUCAUCUUCUUCAUCCUACAAGAUGAGUGUUCUCAUUUUCUUCAUAGGUUCGUUCAUUGGUUCCUUGCCUUUUAUUUUUGUUGCGGUAGAGUCUUGCUUUGCCUUGAUAUGGGACUUUUCUUUCAUGCUCUCCAAAACUUUGUUGAGCUCCUUUAGAUGCAUCUUUGUAACCAUUUUUAGUUCAAUCACAAUUGGAGCAAUGCUUCUAAUACACAGAGAAGUGGGAAUGUGAAUAUUGAAGUGUCUGAAGAGUCGAGUGAUAAGAGCAGAAUAAGGGAGUUGUCCCUUGUCCUUCACCACCGUUCUGUACAUGUGCAUGAGGAUAGUAUGAGGCAGAUAGAACUUGUAACCAAUGUUGAUGGCAUGCAUCACCUUUGCUUUCGAGUGAGAUACAUUAGUCUUUGACGUUGAUUUGGGCCUGAUGUAGUUGAUCACAAUCUUGUGAAGUAAGAUAUUGGAGGCAUUCAUCCUAUUGUAGGAAAUCUUGCCCUCCGCAAAUCUGUCCCUAACAAGUUCCAGUGUAGCGUGAGCAAUUGACACACUAAUUGGUUGGAAACACCCUCUUUCCACCCCAAUCAAGACCACAAAUUCCUUAUCCCUUACCGUAAAGGAAAAUCUAUUCGCAUCCAAAAAGGAUAGAUUUGAAUAGAAAUAGGCUAUGAGUUAUGGGUAGGCAAAUGUCGUCUCAGAGUAAAAACGUUUGAGUUAAAGGAGUGCAAACUUCUCCCUCAAAUUCACUUUCACAAAAUCAAGAAAAUCAAAAUCAACACUUCUAGGGUUCAUAACCCCUUGCUUCAACAAUUUUGAGUAGGUCUUCAUAUGGUCUUUGGAAUGGAAAACACUCGCUCCCUCUCCACGAACAUUUGUAGCCACUUCCAUCCUAGGCUAAAAAUGUGUGAACAUUCUUUCAUCAUCGUCUUGUCUUUCAGGUUGAUUAAACAUACCCAUUCGUGGAUCACUUGGAAAGUUGGCAAAUGUCCUUGCUGUCAACCCUUCAAGUGCUAUGCCCAUUCUUUCCAUGGAUUGCAAGAACAAAGUUUCGUUCUUGUAACCCCUCUCUCUCAAGAAUUCAUUGAUGAAGGUCAUAGCAAUGCCACCCUCUUUUAACUUUUUGUAAAGUUUAAAAGUAAAUUUAGGUUUCAACGUUCUUACCAGUUCCACAUCUUCCAAAAUUUCUUCUUCGACCAGUUGUUGCUGUGGAGGAACUUGUGUCCUAGUUUGAGAAGAUUGACAUGGUUGAGAAUGUUGUUGUUGACUUUGCUACUGUUGUUGAGGAAAGUCUUCUUCCUUAGUUAGAUCGAAGUGCGUAGGACCCUCAUGCAUAUGCUGUGUCCCCUGCUCGCGAUUCUAGAAGACUUUCUUGGGGAAGACAUUGUCACUUUCUUUGGAGGAUUUCUUAAACUCGCUCGAAGAAAAAAAAGAUGAAAACUUUUUGGAUUAAACUAGAGAGAAAGUGUGAGAAAGUGGAGUUUCGUAUUUUAGGAUUUGUGAAUGAAAGCGGAGAAACCACUGGGAUUCACCCCAGUGGCCACCCCUUCUAACAUGGAAGGGGGAGGUGAGGGGUUCAAAUCCCCACCUUCUCAAGGGGGGAUGGGGUGGGGACGAGUAAGUUUCAGGAGUGGGUUUCGACUCUCACGCCCUGCAAGAGGCAGGGCAAAAGUCUGAGGGUGAGUGUAGAGUAGGCAUAGAGUGGGAAUGACCAAAAAAAAAAAUGAAAGCAGAGAAGAAGAAAAUCAACAAUAUGUAAAGCAAAUGAAACGGUGUAUACGGAUCGUCAUAAAGGAAAAAGUAAAAACUACCUUUUUGAAAAUGAAAAACUGCCAUAAAUUCAAAAAUGAAAGAGAUAAUUACUAAAAAUAAAAUAAGAAAGUAGCGAUUCAAAAAGUAAUCGUACCUUUUCAAAUUUUCAUCCAAAAAAUUAAAUUACUUGCACAAAAAUAACUUACAGUCGCAACUUUUAGAAGUUCUAAGUUUGAUCAUCUUUAGACUUUACCCGAUUGAAGAUAUGAUGUUCAGUCUAGCGCGAAUAGACUCAAAUAAGCUUUUUUCCAGUAGCUUUGUAAAUAUGUCUAUUAACUGAUUCUUUGAGUCAAUGAAUUGAAUCAUAACUUCUCAAUUCUAAACACGAUUUCUAAUGAAAUGAUGUCGAAUUUCUAUGUGCUUUGCUCUUGAAUGAAGAAUUAGAUUCUUUGUGAGAUUAAUGGCGCUGGUAUUGUCACAUUUGAUCUCGGUGCACGAUUCUUCAAUUCAAAAUCUCUUAACUGUUGCUUUAUCUAUAAGAUUUGAGAACAACAGCUUCCAAGAGCUACGUACUCUACUUCUACUGUUGAAAGAGCUACAGUACUUUACUUCCUCGAGAACCAAGACACCAGUUUGUUACUCAACAAUUGGCAAGUACCAUAAGUGUUCUUUCUAUCAACUUUGCACCCAUGCUAAAUCUAUGUCUGAAUAUCCAAGGAGAGUAAAGUAUCAUUUUUUGGGAUACCACCGACCUAGUUUUGAAGUAGUUGCAACGUAUUUGAUGAUGUGUUUUACAGCACUUAGAUGAGAUUCUUUGGGAUUUGAUUGGAAUCUAACACAAAUGCAAACACUAAACAAAAUGUCAGGUCUAAAUGCAGUAAGGUAAAAAAGUGAAUCAAUAAUACUCCUGCAAAGCUUUUGGUCUACACUCUUUCCUCCUUCAUCUUUAUCCGGCUUCGAAGAACUUGACAUUGGUACCUCAGUCUUUUUGCAAUUCUCCAAUCCGAACUUCUUGAUGAGGUCUUUUUUUGCAUUUUUUUUUUUUUUAUGAAUGAAGAUUCAUUUCUUUGAUUGUUUGACUUGUAAUCCGAGAAAGAAAGUUAAUUUACCUAUCAUGCUCAUCUCGAAUUCAUCCUGCAUAGACUUAAAAAACUUAUUGUACAAAUUUUCAUUAGGUGAUCCAAAGAUAAUAUCAUCAACGUAAAUUUGAAUAAGUAGAAAAUCUUAACCUUUUCUUUUAAUGAAUAAAGUAGUAUCUACUUUUCAUUUAACAAAACCAUUUUGAAUUAAAAAAUUUACUUAACCUAUCAUACCAAGCUUGAGGUGCCUGCUUCAAUCCAUAUAGGGCUUUCUUCAAUCUGUAGACUAAGUCUGGCUUUCUUGAUUCUUCAAAACCAGGUGAUUGUUCUACAUAAACUUCCUCUUAGAUGAAUCCAUUACGGAAUGCACUUUUUACAUCCAUUUGGAAUAACCUGAAAUUUUUAUAGCAAACAAAAGCAAGUAAUAAUUUAAUUGCUUCUAAUCUUGCUACUGGUGCAUAGGUCUCAUCAUAGUCUAUUCCUUCUUCUUACGUAUAUCAUUUGGCCAUGAGUCUUGCUUUGUUUCUGACCACUUUUUCUUUCCCGUCCACCUUGUUCCUGAAAACCCGUUUAGUUCCAAUAAUAGAUUUACUUUUAGGUUUAAGAAUUAGUUCCUAAAUGUUGUUGAUGCUAAACUGUCUAAGCUUUUCUUUCAUAGCUUUAAUCUAGCUCUCAUCAGUUAAGGCUUCUUCUACACUUUUGGGUUCAAUUUCAGAAACAAGUGCUAAAACACUAGACUCUUCUCAUCUUUUGGAUUUGGUACGAAUUCCUUCAUCAAUGUUGCCAAUGAUGAGCUCUUUGGGAUAACUUAACUUAUGUUUCCAGUUGCUGGUUUAUUUGAAAGUUUGAUGAUCUUCUGCUUCAAUUGAAUCUUCUAAUUUAUCUUGUUGUAUAUCUUCAAAAGUCUGAAUCACUUCGGGGGAAGUAGACUUUACAAGAUCUGAAGCACGUUCAGAUUCUUCAAGUUGAGUCUGAUUCAGUUGAUUCUGUACAAAGUCUUGAAAUUUGACGUUCAUAGAUUCUUCCACAUACUGAAUCUUCUUGUUGAAUAUUCUACAGGCUUUGCUUGAGGUUGAGUGGCCAAGAAAAAUUCAUUCAUCUGAUCUUUCCUUAAACUUACUAGUUCGGUCAUUUGCAUUUUUCAAAACAAAUCACUUAUAACCAAACACAUGAAAAUAAGAAACAUUUGGUUUUUUCCCUUUGAAUACUUCAUAAGGAGUUUUCUCUAGAAUAUGUCUUAAAAAUACUCUGUUAAUAAUAUAACAAGCUGUAAAAACUGCUUCAGCCCAAAAUCGAGAAGAAAUAUUACUUUCAAUUAAAAUGGUUAUUGCCAUCUCUUGCAAAGAUCUAUUCUUUCUUUCCACAACCCCAUUCUGUUCUAGAGUAUAUGGAGAAGAGAAAACAUGCUGAAAACCAGAUUCAUCACAAAAUUUAGUAAAGUCUUGAUUCUCGAACUCACCUCCAUGAUCUGUGCGUAUGCUUGAAAUAGCAUAACAUUUUUCAUUCUGAAUCUUCUUGGCAAAUUUUGAAAAGUAAGAGAAUGUUUCAGACUUACUUGCUAGAAAGUAUAUCCAUGUAAAGAGAGUGUAAUCAUCUACGAUUACUAGGCAAUAUCUCUUUCCACCAAUACUUUAAGUUCUGGUUGGUCCAAAGAAAUCCAUAUGUAGAAGCUGCAAAACUCGAUUAGUAGAAACUUGUUUUAUAGGUUUAAAAGAACUUCUAACAUGUUUUCCCAAUACACAUUGUGUGCAUAAUUCAGACUUUUGAUAAGUCAGGUUGGGUAGUCCACGAACAAGCUUCUUGGAGGAGAUCUUGGCAAUCUGCUUCAUGUUAACAUGGCCAAGCUUUCUAUGCCAAAGGUUUGCUUCAUCUUGAAUUGAUAUUAAAUACUAAGAGCUUUCUGGUUUUAUAUCCAGAAGAUAAAUAUUCUCAUGUCUUCAUCCAGUGAAAAAUUGAGAGAUCUUUACUAGUUCCCGAACAAAUACCUUCUUAGAAAUUAAUUUUGAAUCUAGUACCGCACAGUUGACUAAUGCUGAGAAGAUUGUAAUUCAAACCUUCUACCAAUGAAACAUUGUUGAUUGUGAGACUUUCAAUUUUCACAGUUUCACAUUCAACAAUUCUUCCUUUAAUGUUUCCACCAAAAGAAACUUUUCCACCAUUUAUUUGCACAAGUUUUAUGAAACAACUUGAAUCUCUUGUAAUGUGUCUUGAAUAGAUACUAUCCAAAUACCAUUUGAUCUUCUUUUUUAUAGUGACUUGCAAUUAUAAAAAGAACUCAAGCUUUCUUUGGUACCCAUAUUUUCUUGGGUCUAUAGGAGUUAGUAUUAAAAACAGUUUUUGCCCAAUCCCUCUUAACAGGUCCCCAAACCUUGGGACAUUCAUUCUUAAAAUAUUCUAAGUUGUUACACUUUGAACAUUUGAGAACACUUCGACCAACGGGUUUUGUAAAAACUCUUUAAAAAUAUUUUUUUGUAAAACGCUUUUAUAGGUUUUUGUUUGAUUAUUCCCUUUACUUUUGGAAAAUCAAUUAGAGGAAUGGUUUCUAGAGUCAUACCCAAACUUGAUUGGUUAAAAUAAGGUCUUUGUAUAGAAAGAAUCUUUUCCAACUUCUCAGAUCCUUUUGAAAACCUUUUUGUGAUGUUUAAAAUGUCCUAUUUCAAAAAGGCAUUUUCCUUCGAAAGAGAAUAUGCAUUUUCUUUCAAAUUAAUAAAACUUUUGUCUAGAUUUUCGAACUUCUUUUUUCAAAUAGUUUCAUGUUGCUUCAAUUUAGAAUUCUCCAUCUUUAGCUUGGAAAUUCUUUUAAGAGAUGUUUUGAGAUUAAGACAGAGUUCAUCUAUAUAUUUUGAGACUUUAACAUGAAUUUUUAAGUUACUAACCUUGAUUUUUUUGUCUAAGUCUAAGUCUGAAUCUGUUUCAGAAUCUGAAUCUGAUUCUGAAUUUGCCAUUAAACAUAUGUUGGCAUAUUCUUCAUCACUUUAUUCGCAUUCAGUAUCGCUCCAUGUCUUUACUUUGAGAGCCUUUUUGUAUUUUUCAGUUCUUCCUUUCUUUUUCUUCAACAGAUGACAGUUAGGUCUGAUAUGCUCUUUUUUCUUGCAUUCAAAACAGAUCACAUCUUUGUUGAUUUCAUCAUUCUCAGUUGAUUUGUUUUGAAAUUUUUGAGUGCCUUACUUCUUCCAAUUGAAUCUUCUUCCCUUUCUAUUUAACUUUCUAAAUUUCCUUAUCAUGAGUGCUAGUUCUUCAUCGUCCAUAUUAUCUUUCGAAUUUGUAUUAUCAGAAUCAUCAUUAGAUUUUAAAGCAAUUGACUUCUUACCUUUAAGAUCUUCUUCCUCAUUGAUUUGCUCCACUUCGUAAGAUUGAAAUGUGCCAACCAAUUCAUCUAUUGAAAGAGGCAUGAUCCUUUGAGUUUCUCUUAUUAAUGUCUUCACGUGAUUCCAGUCUUUGGAGAGUCCACGCAGCAAUUUAUUGACCUUUAUUGGUCCUAAGAUUGGCUAUCCUUAAUAUGCUAGACCGUUUACUAUUUCUGUAAAACGACUGAACAUGUUAGUGAUGAAUUCUCCUUGCUUCAUCUUAAAGGCUUCAUACUGUCCAAGUAGGAUGUUAAUUUUUGUUUCUUUAACUCAAUCAGUUUCUUCAUAGGUGACAUGCAACCUAUCCCAAACUUCUUUUGUUGUUUCACAAGAUGAAAUUCUGUUAUACUCAGUAAGAGAUAAAGCACAAUAUAAGGAAUAGAUAACUUUAGUAUCAAGAGCUUGUCUCUUGGUUAAUUCUUCUUGUAUCAUGUCGCCAUCAUCUGCAACUUCUUUUCCUCUUUCUGAGGUUGAUGUAACUUUUGGAAUAAUCCAUUUUUCUACUACAUCCCAUUCCAAGGGAUCUUUCGAUCUUAGGAAUGCCUUCAUCUUGUUCUUCCACACAUUGUAUUCCUUCCAUCAAAGUAAGGAGGUCUGGUGUUGCUUUGGCCUUCAACCAAACCUGGAGCCAAAAUACUACCCAUAGAUCUUUAACUCAGAAGUGAAAACACUUCAAUAAAAUGAGCACACAAGCUCUAAUAUCAAUUGAACGGGCUAGUACCAACACCUAGAUGGGGUGAAUAGGUGUUAAAAUAGAUUUUUGCAGAAACGUUUAUAAAUACUUUUUCUUUCGGACUAGAAUCUACUAAGUAAUGAACCAAAGCAAGUUCAGCAAAUAAAUAAAUUUACAAAUGAAUAAAGGAGUUCAGGGAAGAGAAUAAGAACACAAAGUUUAUAGUGGUUAUGCUUAGGUCAAGCCUACAUCCACUCUCCCACACUGACAGCCUACUGGCUGGAUUUCACUAAGAAUCAAAAGAGAUUUUACAGUUUCACGUCCUUGACUUUACAGUGUAGAAACUCUACUACACUCUACCAAAGUCUCACAAGUGUUUGUUUUCUCUUUUGAAUACAAGUUAAGCUCGACAAAUGAAAUAGCAAAGAACUAGGAAGCUUCAGACUUUGAAAUUUUUCUUUCACGCACACACUCAAACAACUGGAGAGCCUGCCUUAAAUACUCCUUCAUGCCUUCACGACCGUUAGCACUUUCCAAAGGAAUUCCUUCAAUCUACCCGUUGGACAGAAUCAAUCAAUGAGAUCUUGAGUUUGUUUUAGAAAUGUGAUGAGAGUCCAUCAAUCCUGCUUGCCUAUACAAUCAAGAUAUUGGUUUCCAUAAGUAGAACAUUUCAAGUAUACGUACCUUCAAAAGAUUUUCAAAUCGGAGUAGAUUCCAAUAAGAAUAAUCAAUCAUAUAGAUGCUAUAUCCAGCCAUAGGGUCUUCCAAAAAACCAUACGAAUUGAAUUAUUGAAGAUAAUUUCGCAUCUGAGUAAAUCUUCAUUAUUUGGUUUGAAAACUGUUAGUAAGGGCAGACUUGAGAUUAAAGUCCAACGGUAUUCAGACUUUGACGGUAGAGUCUGGAGUUCUUCAAACUAUAGUACUUGAGUUUGCAAGUUUUCAUACUAGACUUUUGAAAAUAUUUUGUCAGCUUCAAAACAAUUAAGGAGAUUUCUCUAACAGUAUUGACCAUAUCAUUGUGCGAAUAGUACAAAAGAAUAUAAAAAGAAAUCUAAUUUAUAGAUUGGAUAAUAAAAUGAUCGGAUUAAUUUUGACAUUAUGCUUGAUUAUAAUCCACUUUAUAUUAAGCUAUAGUCUAUCACAUCACUUGAUAUAUUAAUUUUACACACUCUUCGUACUAUUCUUUUUUUUUUUUGAAUAGUCAUACUAUUCAAUAUUUUAUUCUCUUUUGGUAAAAUUACAAAAAAAAAAAAAAAAAAAGGUAAUAAACCUAUUGUGCAAUUGCCAAUUCAGUACUAACAUUUUCAAUUUUACCAAUUUAAUCAUAAGUUUUUAACUACCUAUUAAUGUGGUCUUUUUUUUUUUUUAUCAAUAUUGGCUGGAAAUGCUAACGUGGAUGCUGGUCAUCCUAUGUGAAACUGUUGAUGUUAAUGUGGAUAAAUUUUGAUUUUUAAAAAAAAAUUUCUGAAUUUUUUAGAUUCUUUAUUUUAUUUUUUCUUUAUUGCGACCGGCGAAGGUCGCGGACCCCGCGAACUACGAGUGAGGCGACUCUCACUAGGCAAGGUUGACCCUUUCUUGUGGAGAGUUGCUAGCUACCAUAUAAGACUAGCCACUGGCCAAAAGGUGAAAAGGAAAUUCAAAAAAUUUUAAAAGAUUGUCCAUGUUAGUACUAUUCACACCACAUAAGACGGCCGAUUCUAAUUGGACCACCUUGUCAAUAAUUUCUAAUCAAAAUUGGCUGGAAUGAUUGAUUUGAUUGUUAAAAGGUUUAUGAUUAAUUUGGCAUAAUUGAAAGAUUUAUGAUUGAAUGACCACGUCUAAUAGUUUUAGGACUCGUCGAACAAUUUUUCCAUUCUCUUUUAUCAGAGUUGAACCAAAGUUUCUUGGUUAUGUUAGUUCAUUAGAAAAUUCGUAGUGCACCUUUAGUGCAUAGUAUUGUAUAGUUAGGAUGUGAAUUCAAUCUCUUCUAUUAUGUCCCGUUCCAUUCAUUAGAUAUUGAUAUGUCACUUCAUUUUAGCCCUCAGUAUAUUGUUAGCUUGCAAUUGCCCUAGAUUUCUUUUAAGCACUCGGUAAUAUCUACAUAAAUUUUCGCAUAUUUCAAUGGGUCCACCUCAUUGAACAGUUUUAAGGGUGCACCACUUUGGUUAAGGACACGCCAUCACCACUUGACUAUCGGUUUGGACAAAUUCAAACUUUUAAAACCGUUAUUAGUAAUCCUGGUAAAUUUUACAUUGUAUUCGUGUACUUGAUAUGUACUAUAACUCCUCUUUAUGAUCAAUGUUAUCAUGAAACUUGUUAACUAAUUUGAACAAACUACCUAAAUUUCUCAAGGCCAUAUUUCCUCUAUCUUUAGCUGGAGUAAGUUUUCUCCAACCACGCCUUUGGCUAAUGGGUUGCGACACCUACUUUUAGUUUUAUAACUUAGGUUCGCAUGCAGAUGGCGUUCUUAACUUAUAAUCCAUUAUUCCCUCCAAUCAGAGAUGGAGGAAAAUAUAGCCUUUCGUCAAAUUAUCUCCUGUUGGCGCAUUCCGCGAUUAAGUGCUAAGCGGAAAAAUAGUCGAUAGUAACAGCUCAAAUUUUGCUCCUCUUGCUCUCCAAAACAUAAUGAUUUAUUAGGGUAGUUGCCAGAUUUCUAUUGAGUCUUCAUCCAUUGCCUCCCCUUUACACUUGUCAAAGGCUUCCUCUUUACUUUUUCUAUCAUAACCUUGCUCGACCAAAACGCAAGAUUCUCAAGGGACCCCUACGCUAACGGGCACAUAAACAAACUGUUGGCCCCCAAACCAUGAGUGGCAUGAGAAAACCAUUGGUCGCCGGGAGAUGAAUCAUUUGAGCAUAAUCGAAUAAAGUAUUGCCGCCUAAUCGAGCAGACAUCCGAUAUGUCCACAUUAGACUUUGAAGGUCUUGAUAAGGAUGAACCCGAUUAAUCGAUUUAAUUUGACCCACUCAUACAAUAUUGUUUAGGGCAAAUACUACAAAAUAAAUCUUGAAUCGUGACAUAAAUACCCCAAACUUAUUUUUGUGUCAUAGAAAACUCUAAGUUUGCCCAUUGUGACACAAAUACCCCUAAUUUUUUUUUUUUGUCAUGAAAGAAACCCAAAUGUAUACAUGUGUGACAUGUACAACUUCUAUCGGUUCCAUCCAGGAUAUAUUUGUUACAUUGGUAUAAGUUCAGGGAUUUUUAUGACCAAAAAAAAAGUUCGGGAUAUUUGUGUCACGGUGGAUAUAAUUUGAGGUUUUUUUUUGUGAUAUUAACCCUAUUGGUUAAUCAUAGCACAUGGAAAAUCUAUAAAUAUGUGCAGUGUACAAGCUUAAAGUAUCAAUCAAAUUUCUGGGGUUUUGAUGUUUCGCAGAAAAGCAGCUAUAUCUCCUAAGAAAGAUUAGAUGCAGAUUUUAAAAUCCAAUUUUGUUCAAUCUUUUCCGGCUUAUCUCUGCUACUUGUAUACAACUAUGCUUAAAAGAGAAUUGAAAAGGGAUUCUUGUUUAUCAACUUUGCUGGUGAAAUUUCACGCAAUUCCCUUUAAAGAACGUUCAAUUCUUGAAGAAAUUCAACUGAAGUCUAUUAUGAAACUGAAUACAUACGAUUAUUGUAAUUAGCAUUUUCAAGUACCCACAGUUUUUCGAUUAUGUCAUUUCUCUUCUAACCACCAACAAUUCCUUCCUUUUUCUUUACAGCAUGCGCGUAUGCUCCAAGUUUUUGUUUGAAUAUAUCUCGUUAGAAAGCAAAUUCAAAAGUAGUGUUGUUAAGUUUAAAUCGAUUUAAGGUAAAUCUGAUAAACAGGCGAUUUGGAAGAUACAUACAACAUUGUUCUCUAAUUCAAUCUCGAUCACGAAGUGAUUAACUUUUAAAAAAACAAGUUUUAAUCAAAGAUGGAAAAAAACCAUAAGAUUAAAAUAUAUAUUUAAGAAACCAUGUUCAAAAUAAACUCAAUUGAAAAAGUGUAUACGAAGAUACACUUUAUCCAUUUUAUUCAAAAUUUAAAUCGAAUAAGAGAUUAAAAUUUAGGUAUCACAAAUAAAAAAGCUAAUGGUUAUUGGUCGAACAUUUGCCAUGGGGCAAACUUAGGGCACGGGGCAAUCACUAAAGGCAAAUAAAAGGGCCAUGCAGCAAGUUUUUAAUCUUAAGUAUGACAAAUUCAAGUUUAACUAUAUAUAUGUUAGGAUAGAGUAGGUCGGAAGAUAUAUACAAAAUCAUAUCACAAUCUUAUAUUCAUGAAGAUAACAAACCUUCAACACUUGCAAAUUAUAAAUGCUUAUCCAAGCAACUUUUAUAUUUUCUGAUACACAUAUACUUAAUUUAUUUUUUAAUAUAUAUUACGAAUAUGUAUUUGGUGAGACUACCAACUCGCAAGUCAACUGGCUAAUGACACCACCGUCAUGCAUUGCAUGCAGGAUUUCGUCGUUCGCAUGAAAAUCAUAAAUAAUUUUUGGGGAAUCGGCUUACGAGUUCGGUUGACAUUUCUGUACUUUCUUGAAAAAUUUCACGGCCCACGUUCCUUCUAGGAUCGAUCAAAUUCAUACCCUCCACACAAGCAAAGAUUAAGACAGCUGAAUAAGAGUUGCAGGACCAGCUGUUUAUCUGGUCAACCACUGUCAUCAAAAGAAUCGCCAACCAGGGUAUGAACAAUCUGGAACAGACUUCAUGCAAAAUCAUUUAGAAAGUGGCGGUCCAACUAGGAUUAAAAGAGAGAUCUAGGCCUAACUAUUGGUUGAUUGACUGGCGGAUUAACUAAGAUUAUUGACUAACAGUUUGUCAUCUUUUUAAGAAUUUUGACCGAGUUAUUGAUUCUUAUCCGAUUAAUUUGUAUUUAGAAUCUUUAAGCAUCCGCCUUGUCCUCCCUAAAUAUACUAGCUGCUUAUCUAACAGUUUUUUUUUUUUUUUAAGCAACGGUUAUCUAACAGUUUACCCAUUUCAUAUGUGCCGAAUUACCAUAGAAAUAUAAAAACUCGUCCUCGUGAAGAUGAACAUGGCAACGAUGAUCUUUACCAAAAAAAAACAUGGCAACGAUGAUUUGAACGAGAGAGAGAGAGAGAGAGAGAGAGAGAGAGAGAGAGAGAGAGAGAGAGAGAGAGAGAGGGAGGGAGGGGUACACGGAAAAGCAUAAUACUCUUUAUUGUUGUUUCUCUACACACAGAGACUUCGAUAUUAUAUUGGGGUUUACAUAGGAACAUUCUUAUUAUUUUACUGUAGACGCACGCUAAUCAAUUACAUUCUUUAUUUGCAGCAGCAUAUAUCCAUCAAGAUGAUACAAGAUCCACAGUGGACGCUUAACUAAAUCAAGGGCACUUGUGUCUGCCUCCAUGAGUGGUCAUGGUGGCGUAGCAAGGGCACACGUCCUCGUUACCGGAGGUCCCGGGCGGCACACAAUUGCAACGGGCACAACAGGUUCCGCAUGCCCUCUUGCACAUCUUUUGCCUUGAUGCCAACCGGCACCUAGCAGCGCAUGCCACUCCGCAAUCUGGAAAAGAGAAGCUCGUGGCUAAUAACAUGGACUAACGAUACAAAAGAAAAUGUCAUACUGAAUAUAAAGACAUGUUGUGUGUACGUCAUUCAUCCAUAAUUUAACAAUUUCAAUUUGCGGGAAAAUAAUUUGUCGAAUAUGAUAUGAGAGGUCUGGUUUAUUCUCGAUUCUUGAAUCAACCGAGCUGAUUGUAUUCUCAAUCUACAUAGUAGCUAUGCAAAACCAUCAUAACUAAAAGCAUUUAAAUUGAGA
rnacentral:lncRNA from 1 species